GACGAACGCUGGCGGCGUGCCUAAUACAUGCAAGUAGAACGCUGAAGCGAGGAGCUUGCUCUUCUUGGAUGAGUUGCGAACGGGUGAGUAACGCGUAGGUAACCUGCCUUGUAGCGGGGGAUAACUAUUGGAAACGAUAGCUAAUACCGCAUAACAAUAGGUGACACAUGUCAUUUAUUUGAAAGGGGCAAUUGCUCCACUACAAGAUGGACCUGCGUUGUAUUAGCUAGUAGGUGAGGUAACGGCUCACCUAGGCGACGAUACAUAGCCGACCUGAGAGGGUGAUCGGCCACACUGGGACUGAGACACGGCCCAGACUCCUACGGGAGGCAGCAGUAGGGAAUCUUCGGCAAUGGGGGCAACCCUGACCGAGCAACGCCGCGUGAGUGAAGAAGGUUGUCGGAUCGUAAAGCUCUGUUGUAAGUCAAGAACGAGUGUGAGAGUGGAAAGUUCACACUGUGACGGUAGCUUACCAGAAAGGGACGGCUAACUACGUG
rnacentral:rRNA from 1 species